UACGUAGGGGGCUAGCGUUGUCCGGAAUCAUUGGGCGUAAAGCGCGUGUAGGCGGCCCGGUAAGUCCGCUGUGAAAGUCCAGGGCUCAACCCUGGGAUGCCGGUGGAUACUGUCGGGCUCGAGUCCGGAAGAGGAGUGUGGAAUUCCUGGUGUAGCGGUGAAAUGCGCAGAUAUCAGGAGGAACACCAAUGGCGAAGGCAGCACUCUGGGACGUGACUGACGCUGAGACGCGAAAGCGUGGGAGCAAACAGG
rnacentral:rRNA from 1 species